CAUGUUGAAGAGCUGUUAAAGCGAUUCUACGCCUGGAUUUGUGAUAUAUAUAUAUAUAUAUAUAUAUAUAUAUAUAUAUAUCACAAAUCCAGGCGUAGAAUCGCUUUAACAGCUCUUCAACAUG